rnacentral:rRNA from 1 species
UAGUCGCACGAGUUCAGACUCGUGGCGAAUAGCUCAGUAACACGUGGCCAAACUACCCUUCGGAACACAAUACCCUCGGGAAACUGAGGCUAAUAGUGUAUACCAUACCACCACUGGAAUGAGUGGUAUGCUAAACGCUCCGGCGCCGAAGGAUGUGGCUGCGGCCGAUUAGGUAGACGGUGGGGUAACGGCCCACCGUGCCAAUAAUCGGUAUGGGUCAUGAGAGUGAGAACCCAGAGACGGAAUCUGAGACAAGAUUCCGGGCCCUACGGGGCGCAGCAGGCGCGAAACCUUUACACUGCACGACAGUGCGAUAGGGGGAUCCCAAGUGCACAGGCAUAGCGCCUGUGCUUUUCGGUACCCUAAGGCGGUACCAGAAUAAGGGCUGGGCAAGACCGGUGCCAGCCGCCGCGGUAAUACCGGCAGCCCAAGUGAUGGCCGAUCUUAUUGGGCCUAAAGCGUCCGUAGCUGGCCGCGCAAGUCCAUCGGGAAAUCCACCUGCUCAACAGGUGGGCGCCCGGUAGAAACUGCGUGGCUUGGGACCGGA